rnacentral:lncRNA from 1 species
GGGAAGAGUCACUGCCACCACUUCCGCAGGUCCCAUUCACUUUAGUCACAUUAGGGUCCAGAUUAACAGUCUGAAGGCUGGCGUUCUAAACAAAGAUACCAUUUUUAUCAAAAAAAAAGACAGAGUAGAACAAAAGUUUGUUAAAUGACAGAAUUAUAUACUACGAUUACACACCCCACUUAUUUUGAAGCUGAACUGAAGGCCCAUCUUUGCCAGCAGACAGUCUGAGACAUUGUCGGUCUUGACACUGUAGUUUCCAACAGUCGGUUUUGGUACAGAAGGAGUCGUCGGAGGAGGGGUCGGGGCUACUGUAGCAUUGGUGUGUGUGGUGGUUGGCGCAUCUGUAGUAGAAUUUGUCGUGUUGUGUCCUGUGGUAGUUGGCGGUUCUGUGGUAGAAUUGGUUGUGUUGUGUCCUGUGGUAGUUGGAGCUAAUGUGGUAACUGUAGCACUGGUGCUAGAACUACUAGUGCUUUGUGUGGAAGUUGGAGCUGAAGUGGUAACUGUGGUGCGUGCAGUAGUGGUUUUAGCUGCAGGUUCUGUAGUCAGAGUGGAAUGAGUGGAAGUUGAAGAGGGCCUGGAGGUGGUUGUAGUAGAUGUAGUAGAUGAAGUAGUCUGGAUGACUAGGGGGAGGUUGGCUGUUUUGAGCUCUGCUGUUGAGGGCAGUGGUGAUGUCAUCAUAUCAUCAGCAUGAACAGUACCACUCAGCAGGAUAAAGAGCAGAGGCAGAAAACCGCGGACAGCCAUUGCGACGGGUGGAUGGUUUAUC